rnacentral:rRNA from 1 species
UACAGAGGUCUCAAGCGUUGUUCGGAUUCACUGGGCGUAAAGCGCACGUAGGCGGCUUUGUAAGUUAGAGGUGAAAGCCCGGGGCUCAACUCCGGAAUUGCCUUUAAGACUGCAUCGCUAGAAUUGUGGAGAGGUAAGUGGAAUUCCGAGUGUAGAGGUGAAAUUCGUAGAUAUUCGGAAGAACACCAGUGGCGAAGGCGACUUACUGGACACAUAUUGACGCUGAGGUGCGAAAGCGUGGGGAGCAAACAGG